CUCCCGAAGGUAUCCUGAAUCUUUCGCAUUGUUAAUCAUACAAGUGCAUAUAAUAAACAUAGAAAAUCAAUGAUAAUCAUGCUAUUAUAUAAUUUUAAAAAAAUUAACGCACUGUAUUCAUAUAAAUCUAUCAACACUUUAUCAAAUUAAUGACAUUUAUUUUAUGUUAAAUUGCAAGCAAAAUAAUUUAAAUGAACUAUAAGUCAUAUUUUAUGAUAAAUUGGGUUUAUAUUAAUAGA
rnacentral:rRNA from 1 species